rnacentral:misc_RNA from 1 species
UACAGUUCCCAAACACAGUACUAUGUGGUACCCUCGGGUGCUGCUUGUGCUGGCUCAGUUUACUGAGCAUGCAUGUUGUGGGGUCGACGCCCUGCUAAUAUGCAAACUGCUGAAACUUGAUGGAAUGACGGUUGAAUCAUCUGAAACAGCCUGGCAGCCUCUCCAGGCAGGUCAUACGACGUUACCUUGCGUUUCCUCGUACGAUCCAUUAACCAUGAGACAGGGUGCCUACCUACAUAAACCCAUGGAAUGCUCGGUUAUCUACGGAUGGCCCAGUCCAUUGCCAGGGUGUGGGGUGUGCUAGCCUUCGGGCUAGUGCUUGGCUUAAUGGCGCUCGGGGCUUUACUCGAGCACCGCCCUGUUGUCCGUUCAUGUUGUUGAUUGUGGUGUGACUGCGGUGCCUAUCCCGAUAAUGGAGCUUGGUGUCGGGGUGUGCUGUCGAGCUGCGAAUGACAGUGCUAGGCUUGAAGACGGGUACAGCCCGCCCCUAAAGUCAGUUGCGCCACGGUCAAUGUACCAAUAUUUUACACUGUUUAAGUAGAUCAGGCUGUUCACACAGUCUGGUUUGCUGCCUAAGGUAUGCACCGGGUGCUUCGGCACUCGACUGCAUACAUCGUCGCCUGGCGGUGCCUUAUCCCGGGCUCGACGGAUAACCCGUCCUCUGGCCGCAUAGGAAACUGUGUGGUUAUGACAUU